AUUGAACGCUGGCGGCAGGCCUAACACAUGCAAGUCGAACGAGUGGCGGACGGGUGAGUAAUGUCUGGGAAACUGCCCGAUGGAGGGGGGUAACUACUGGAAACGGUAGCUAAUACCGCAUACCAUCGGAUGUGCCCAGAUGGGAUUAGCUAGUAGGUGGGGUAACGGCUCACCUCGGCGACGAUCCCUAGCUGGUCUGAGAGGGUGACCGGCCGCAUCGAAACUGAGACACGGUCCAGACUCCUACGGGAGGGAGCAGGGGGGAAUAUUGCACAAUGGGGGCAAGCCUGAUGCAGCCAUGCCGCGUGUAUGAAGAAGGCCGUCGGGUUGUAAAGUACUUUCAGCGAGGAGGCGUUACUCGCAGAAGAAGCACCGGCUAACUCCGUGCCAGGAGGCGCGGUAAUUC
rnacentral:rRNA from 1 species